GAAAGGGAAUUGUACAAGCACAAGGCCCUCAACUAUAGAAGUAAAAAGUAAGUUUUUAGAUAUGUGGGACAAGCUGACCCAUCAUUUAGACGAAACAGACCAGAAAAGAAAACAAAAUGCAGAAACCAGACUAAAUUAUGGGCACUGCUCCAUGGGCCACCUGGCAGGAAAAAGAAAAAGUCCCUGACCCCCCGGAAGCCCUGACCACCAUGUACUUUUUGCUAACUCAUUGUUAUGAUUAUAGCCAAAAUAAGUAAAGUACACGUAUGCCUCAUUUACUCCACCAAUCACAUCCCUGUAACCAUGCAUCUGCUUCUGUAAGCCUGCUUCUGCUCCCCAAAAUACUAUAAAAAGCCCACCCUGGCUCUGCUAGGCGCGCCAGUCUUCCGAAUUGACUGGGACGCCCACAGAUACCUGUGUAUCCUGAUCAAUAAAAAUCCUCUUGCUGAUUGCAGCCUGUGGACUCGGACUGGUCAUUGGGCUUGAGGAUCUCCCUCCUGAGGGAAGAUUCUCUCUGAGAGUCUUACAUAUGGGGGCUCCUCCGGGAUCGGAGAUCCUCUGCCUAGAGACCACCGACCACCCACCAGGAGGCUAAAAGACCUACAGGUGAUACAGAAAGAAAUCUGCUCACAGCUGACAGCAGCCUAUGCCCCGGAGACCCCUGAGACAUCCCAUCAGUUCCAGGUUAGAGACUGCAGCUACAUACAACGACACGGAGCCCAGACACUCGAGCCUCGCUGGAAAGGACCGUACCUGGUGCUGCUGACCACCCUGACAGCCGUCAAGUCUCAGCCCUCACCAGCAGCGUACUAGCUGUUGGGGCUGAGAGCUGGGACCUAGAGGGACACUCAGAUCUUCAAAAAGCUCCCUAGACUUAAGUGACUGGGAGGUUGCUAUAAUGCUCACUUGAGGAGUGUGUUUUAGAAACAAGAAUUUCAUGUUUGCCUGUUUGCCCUGGGUUCCCUCGGAAUAGGUGUAAAGAUAGGCUUGAUUUUUUAUUGCAAAUGAUGUAACAUUACAUAUGUUAGUACUCCUAACACUUCUUGGGACUGUUCCUCAGGGAUCACAAUCUAUAUAAGUUUAGAAGUUCUAAAAGACCUUGGUGUAUAGGUUCAGAUAGUGUCCAGAUUAGAAUCCUGAUGCUAAAGACUUAAUAAGACACAAAAGAGAGUUGAGAAUUAUUUAAGGCUAUCUAGGUGCUACAAGGGCAGCACAAGGACAUCUGCUGUUGCCCUACAAUGCAAGGCUUAUAGAGAAUUCAGAACUGCCAUUGACUCAGAUAUAAAAAGAGUAAAAAAGACUUUUUAGCUGACCUCCAAGAACACCUAACCUCCCUCUCAGAGGUAGUCCUUCAAAAUAGGAAAAGAUUAGACCUGAUAUUCCUUAAAGAAAGAGUCUGUGUGCUACACUAAAAGAAGAAUGUUGUUUCUAUGCAGAUCAAACAGGAAUAAUAAGAGAUACAGACUUUCAGUCAUUCAAACUUUUGUGCUGAGACAACAGUAUCAGAUGGUGAAACAACAAAAAACAGAGGUACCUUAACCAAGUUGAGUGGAAGAUUCCACUCAAGGACAAAAAGAAAAUGGGGGAAUGAAAGACCCUCUCCCAGAAAGGGAAUUGUACAAGCACAAGGCCCUCAACUAUAGAAGUAAAAAGUAAGUUUUUAGAUAUGUGGGACAAGCUGACCCAUCAUUUAGACGAAACAGACCAGAAAAGAAAACAAAAUGCAGAAACCAAACUAAAUUAUGGGCACUGCUCCAUGGGCCACCUGGCAGGAAAAAGAAAAAGUCCCUGACCCCCCGGAAGCCCUGACCACCAUGUACUUUUUGCUAACUCAUUGUUAUGAUUAUAGCCAAAAUAAGUAACAUACACGUAUGCCUCAUUUACUCCACCAAUCACAUCCCUGUAACCAUGCAUCUGCUUCUGUAAGCCUUCUUCUGCUCCCCAAAAUACUAUAAAAAGCCCACCCUGGCUCUGCUAGGCGCGCCAGUCUUCCGAAUUGACUGGGACGCCCACAGAUACCUGUGUAUCCUGAUCAAUAAAAAUCCUCUUGCUGAUUGCA